AUGGCGAGCUUACGCGUGGUGAUCAUCCUGGUGUUGCUGCUCUUGUGCGCCUGCGCUCUGUUGGCGGAGUGCUCCAGGCCGUUGCGCGAUCAUGCCCACGGAGGGGGCGGCUUGUCGACGGCCAACUUGCCGGUGUUUGUCGUCGCGAGGGCGGGGCCAAGCAGGCGAGGCGCCGGUCACUAG
rnacentral:rRNA from 1 species